rnacentral:tmRNA from 1 species
GGGGCUGACUUGGUUUCGACGGGACUUAGUAGCACAUGAUAGCAUGUCGGGCUGAGCAUCCCGUUACACGGCUCAACAUUGUUAAACGCAAACAAUACAAAUUAUCGCCCAGCUUUAGCAGUAGCUUAAGUUCAUAACCCCUCAUACGAGGAGGGCUGCUUCACUUGUGGAUUCUAAAUAAGCAAGGCUCGAAGUAUAACCAUUCAUUUAGAUAUAUUUUAGGUGUGUCUCCACUUAAGACGAACUGCCCAGAGACUCGCUUGGUGUAGUUUUGCAAGUUGUAUGAAACCACAGUUAAACUAAACAACUUUUCUAAACAUGUAGAAGUUAUGUGUAGCUAUUUUUCGGACUGCGGUUCGAUUCCGCACAGCUCCACCA